GGAGGGGGAGCAAGAUGAAGUCACAGACUCAGGUCCUCAUAUCCCUGCUGCUUUGGGUGUCUGGUGCCUGUGCAGACAUUGUGAUGACCCAGUCUCCAUCCUCCCUGGCUGUGUCAGCAGGAGAGAAGGUCACCAUCAGCUGCAAGUCCAGUCAGAGUCUUUAUUACAGUAACAACCAAAAGAACUUAUUGUCCUGGUACCAGCAGAAACCAGGGCAGUCCCCUAAGCUGCUGAUUUACUGGGCAUCCAGUAGGCACACUGGGGUCCCUGAUCGUUUCACAGGCAGUGGAUCUGGGACAGAUUACACUCUCAGCAUCAGCAGUGUGCAGGCUGAAGACCUGGCAGUUUAUUACUGUAUGCAGGGUUACUUCCCUCCCACACUAAAUCUUAUCCUCUUUCUGACCAUUUACUUACUCCCUUACACUGUUGUCUCCAUUCUCUUCUAUGGAACUCUGCUGACUACUGUUUACUAUGGCCACAAUAAACACCUUUCAAUCUCCUAUUAA